GAAGUAUUCAGAGAGUAUGACUGAGCCUAUGAAAAUCUGAAGUAGGAACUGAGUGUAGAAGAGAUGAUGCUGAGAUAAGAAAAGCUCUCAUGCAUGCACCUAUCCAAAGGUAGCAUCGCCUAAAGAUCCAUUCUACCAUGUCAAAUUCCCAAAUUCUUGGAAACAGCUUCUGUUGGUUCACCGGCAGUUUAUCCUCGAGUCACUGCCUUUUCUUCCAGUAGGUGGCGAUGUGCUGAGAGAGGCUGGUCCCAUCAUUCCUUGCGGCAUAACAACUUGCCGCCAUGAUGCCGAGCGCCGCUGUGUCUGUGACGCGUCACACUGUGGUCGAGGAAAGGUUGCUGUGUUGAAAGGCGGUGCGUUCUUGAUAGCUGUGACCGACUGGUGCACGCCCUGACGAAGCUGAAGUUGUAAAGCGAAGCCUAUUCCUUGUUUCUCAUUUCUUCUCCCUUCUCUGAAACAGGCCCUAUGUCUGGUAGCAGCCAUGUGAUUUUACAAUUGAAGCUAUGUUAAAUUUUAGGAAUACG
rnacentral:lncRNA from 1 species